AUCUCUAUGAAGCCAAUUUGAUGGUAAACAAAUUUGUAAUAGGGGAAUCGUUCACCUAUAGCAUAGCCGUAGCAGGACGCUACCAAGAGAACCAGCAAUGCAACUUCAACAAUUGCUGACCCAGAGACAUCUUGCAUGAAUCACAAUCUUUCUUUGUUUGGCAG